CUAUAACUCUGUAGAACAGUAGGGUUGUGUGGUGUGUUACCAUCUAUAACUCUGUAGAACAGCAGGGUUGUGUUAUCAUCUAUAACUCUGUAGAACAGUAGGGUUGUGUGGUGUGUUACCAUCUAUAACUCUGUAGAACAGUAGGGUUGUGUGGUGUGUUACCAUCUAUAACUCUGUAGAACAGUAGGGUUGUGUGGUGUGUUACCAUCUAUAACUCUGUAGAACAGUAGGGUUGUGUUACCAUCUAUAACUCUGUAGAACAGUAGGGUUGUGUGGUGUGUUACCAUCUAUAACUCUGUAGAACAGUAGGGUUGUGUUACCAUCUAUAACUCUGUAGAACAGUAGGGUUGUGUUACCAUCUAUAACUCUGUAGAACAGUAGGGUUGUGUGGUGUGUUACCAUCUAUAACUCUGUAGAACAGUAGGGUUGUGUGGUGUGUUACCAUCUAUAACUCUGUAGAACAGUAGGGUUGUGUGGUGUGUUACCAACUAUAACUCUGUAGAACAGUAGGGUUGUGUGGUGUGUUACCAUCUAUAACUCUGUAGAACAGUAGGGUUGUGUUACCAUCUAUAACUCUGUAGAACAGUAGGGUUGUGUUACCAUCUAUAACUCUGUAGAACAGCAGGGUUGUGUGGUGUGUUACCAUCUAUAACUCUGUAGAACAGUAGGGAAUUGAACCAGGGUCUGUAGUGACGCCUCUAGCACUGAGAUGCAGUGUUUUCAAACACUUGGACGUUUUCACGGUGGUGGUAGUUGGGAUGGGUUCAAGUUGAUGACCUGUAUCCACUUCCAAUGCUAACACAUCAUUAAAUAGACAGAAGACAACCUUUUCAAACCUGUAUUGGUUUUGAUUGUGUGGUGGAGUUGCUGUUCAAGGUUAUGGCAAGUCGGGAUAUGCUUUAGAUACGCUUCUUGUCUUGAUCUUCAGUGACCACUAAUGACCCUUGAACUCACGAUACAUGACAUUGUAAAGCCUACUGAUGGGUGUGUAUUGAGCAAAUAUACACUGAGUGUACAAAACAUUAAGAACACCUUCCUAAUAUUGAGGAGCACCUCCCCCUUUUGCCCUCAGAACAGCCUCAACUCCUCCAGGCAUGGACUACAAGGUGUUGAAAGCGUUCCACAGGGAUGCUGGCCCAUGUUGAUUCCAAUGCUUCCCACAGUUGUGUCAAAUUGGCUGGAUGCCCAUUGGCUGGAUGCCCAUUGGCUGGAUGCCCAUUGGCUGGAUGCCCAUUGGCUGGAUGCCCAUGGGGUGGUGGACCAAUCUUGAUACACACGGAAAACUGUUGAGCGUAAAAACCCAACCCAGCUGCUGGGCAAACUUUGUUUAUUAUCUAUGCAAAGUAACUUUAACUCUACCGACAUGUAGGUAUUACCUCGACGAACUGGCACAUUGACUUUGUACCGGUACCCUCCACAUUGACUCUGUACUGGUACCUCCUGUAUAUAGCCUCCACAUUGACUCUGUACCGUAACACCCUGUAUAUAGCCUCCACAUUGACCCUGUACAGGGAACCUCCUGUAUAUAGCCUCCACAUUGACUCUGUACUGGUACCCCCUGUAUAUAGCCUCCACAUUGACUCUGUACCGUAACACCCUGUAUAUAGCCUCCAUAUUGACUCUGUACCGGUACCCCCUGUAUAUAGCCUCCACAUUGACUCUGUACCGGUACCCCCUGUAUAUAGCCUCCACAUUCUGUACCAGUACCCACCUAUAUAUAGCCUCCACAUUGACUCUGUACCGGUACCCCCUGUAUAUAGCCUCCACAUUGACUCUGUACCGGUACCCCCUGUAUAUAGUCUCCACAUUGACUCUGUACCGGUACCCCCUGUAUAUAGCCUCCACAUUGACUCUGUACCGGUACCCCCUGUAUAUAGCCUCCACAUUGACUCUGUACCGUAAUACCCUGUAUAUAUUCUCCACAUUGACUUUGUACCGGUACCCCCUGUAUAUAGCCUCCACAUUGACUCUGUACUGGUACCCCCUGUAUAUAGCCUCCACAUUGACUCUGUACCAGUACCCCCUGUAUAUAGCCUCCACAUUGACUCUGUACCGGUACCCCCUGUAUAUAGCCUCCACAUUGACUCUGUACCGUAACACCCUGUAUAUAGCCUCCACAUUGACUCUGUACCGGUACCCCCUGUAUAUAGCCUCCACAUUGACUCUGUACCGGUACCCCCUGUAUAUAGCCUCCACAUUGACUCUGUACCGUAAUACCCUGUAUAUAGUCUCCACAUUGACUCUGUACCGUAAUACCCUGUAUAUAGCCUCCAUAUUGACUCUCCAAACCUUUGACUGGUACUGUAAUACCCUGUAUAUAGCCUCCACAUUGACUCUGUACCGUAAUACCCUGUAUAUAGUCUCCACAUUGACUCUGUACCGUAAUACCCUGUAUAUGCUCCAGUUUCAACUGUUCUGCCUUACUAUUAUUCAACCAUGCUGGUCAUUUAUGAACAUUUGAACAUCUUGGCCACGUUCUGUUAUAAUCUCCACCCGGCACAGACAGAAGAGGACUGGCCACCCCACAUAUGCUCUCUCUAAUUCUCUCUUUCUUUCUCUCUCUCGGAGGACCUGAGCCCUAGGACCGUGCCCCAGGACUACCUGACACAAUGCCCCAGUCCACCUGACUGUGCUGCUGCUCCAGUUUCAACUGUUCUGCCUUAUUAUUAUUCGACCAUGCUGGUCAUUUAUGAACAUUUGAACAUCUUGGUCAUGUUCUGUUAUAAUCUCUACCCGGCACAGCCAGAAGAGGACUGGCCACCCCACAUAGCCCGGUUCCUCUCUAGGUUUCUUCCUAGGUUUUGGCCUUUCUAGGGAGUUUUUCCUAGCCACCGUGCUUUUACACCUGCAUUGUUUGCUGUUUGGGGUUUUAGGCUGGGUUUCUGUACAGCACUUUGAGAUAUCAGCUGAUGUACGAAGGGCUAUAUAAAUAAAUUUGAUUUGAUUUGAUUUUAUACAGUCUCCACAUUGACUCUGUACCGUAAUACCCUGUAUAUAGUCUCCACAUUGACUCUGUACCGUAACACCCUGUAUAUAG